ACUGACACUGAGGUGCGAAAGCGUGGGUAGCAAACGGAAUGAUACCCUGGUAGUCCACGCCGUAAACGAUGUCGACCAGCCGUUGGGUGCCUAGCGCACUUUGUGGCGAAGUUAACGCGAUAAGUCGACCGCCUGGGGAGUACGGCCGCAAGGUUAAAACUCAAAUGAAUUGACGGGGGCCCGCACAAGCGGUGGAGCAUGUGGUUUAAUUCGAUGCAACGCGAAGAACCUUACCUACUCUUGACAUCCUGCGAAUUUGGUAGAGAUACCUUAGUGCCUUCGGGAACGCAGAGACAGGUGCUGCAUGGCUGUCGUCAGCUCGUGUUGUGAAAUGUUGGGUUAAGUCCCGUAACGAGCGCAACCCUUGUCCUUAUUUGCCAGCGCGUAAUGGCGGGAACUCUAAGGAGACUGCCGGUGACAAACCGGAGGAAGGUGGGGACGACGUCAAGUCAUCAUGGCCCUUACGAGUAGGGCUACACACGUGCUACAAUGGUCGGUACAAAGGGUUGCCAACUCGCGAGAGUGAGCCAAUCCCGAAAAGCCGAUCUCAGUCCGGAUCGGAGUCUGCAACUCGACUCCGUGAAGUCGGAAUCGCUAGUAAUCGUGGAUCAGAAUGCCACGGUGAAUACGUUCCCGGGCCUUGUACACACCGCCCGUCACACCAUGGGAGUGGACUGCACCAGAAGUGGUUAGCCUAACGCAAGAGGGCGAUCACCACGGUGUGGUUCAUGACUGGGGGUGAAGUCGUAACAAGGUAACCA
rnacentral:rRNA from 1 species